GGGGAAUAUUGGACAAUGGGGGAAACCCUGAUCCAGCCAUGCCGCGUGAGCGAUGAAGGCCCUAGGGUUGUAAAGCUCUUUUACCUGGGAAGAUAAUGACUGUACCAGGAGAAUAAGCCCCGGCUAACUUCGUGCCAGCAGCCGCGGUAAUACGAAGGGGGCUAGCGUUGUUCGGAAUCACUGGGCGUAAAGCGCACGUAGGCGGAUUUUUAAGUCAGGGGUGAAAUCCCGGGGCUCAACCUCGGAACUGCCUUUGAUACUGGAGAUCUUGAGUCCGGAAGAGGUGAGUGGAACUGCGAGUGUAGAGGUGAAAUUCGUAGAUAUUCGCAAGAACACCAGUGGCGAAGGCGGCUCACUGGUCCGGUACUGACGCUGAGGUGCGAAAGCGUGGGGAGCAAAC
rnacentral:rRNA from 1 species